CAAAUCGAGUGCAGGCGUGCGAACAGACCAUUGGCAAAUCAGUAUAAAUACCGGGACGCUUUUUACAUGAUUAAUCACCAAUCGAUAAGCAUCAGCACUUCCGACGCUACAAAAUGUUCCAGAAAGUCUUCCUUUUUGCUUGCAUCUUGGCUGUUAUGGCCAUUGAUCACACCAAUUCCGAAUCCACUGACGAUGUGGGAGGCCUAGACGAAACCUUUUGCAAGCCUUUCUCUUCCUGCACUGCUAGUACUGAUUGUGUCACCAAUCUUAUCUACAAAAAUUGCCGCGCCAAUCUUUUUGGCGUCAAACAAUGCUGUAUCUAGUCUGAUCUGAUAGAGUCACUGUUUCAAUGUUAUGGCGCUUUUUGUAAACAGAUUUCAAAAAGUGUAGACCUUUGACCGUUUUUAUCACAAAUACAAUAUAUUAUCAAAGCAGA